GGUGGCGGCAGGCAGGUGACGUCGAGUCCCUCUCGGCCAGCGUGGGGAAGUGGCCUCGGCGGCCAGUCACUCAGGCGAGCGAGUGCGGGAGGGAACCGGCAUCCAGCGUGCGGCCCGGCCCAGUGCCACGCUACAUGGCCUGUGCCUCGCUCACCUCCCUCCUCAGCAGCGCCAGGGCACCUGUCCCUUUUGAUUUGCUGGUCUUUCCGAAGUUUUCAGUGUCGUGUCGCGUGGAUUAGAAGGAUCAAGAUCUGUUGCAGUGCAGGCAGAUGACAAAAUGAAGGAGCAUGGCGUGUAAUUAAUGCCAGUCCGGGUAUCACCAGAGCUAGUGGUGCUGUGUGUAGGUGAGUGGGCCACACGGCGGCCUCCAGCAGUAUGUGAACCCGGCGGGGGUGUGGGCCGCCUUGGACUGCUGGUGAAGGUUCCCACACCUCGCAUCGACUGACCGGUUCGGGAUGACCGCCGCCACCACCACCACCACCACCCCCAGCCCGGGCACAGCACCCUCCUCUCCUCUUACCGAGGCCAAAGAUGAUCAAACCCUGUGAGAAAAAAAAAAAAAAAAAAAAAUUGGUGGUUGCUUUUCGAAUGAGAUUUGUCCUGAUUGGGGUGUGUGGAGGAGUGGAGUGUGUGAAGUGAUCAAGGCCUUUGAAUUAAUAGUGAGACAGCCUUGGCGUGGAUGGCGCGCCUCUGUGGGGGUCGUGUGAGGCCGAGGCCAGUGGAAUCAACGCCCCUUGACGCCAGUGUGUCACCAAACCUACCUUGUCUGUCGAUCCUUGACAAGCUUUAGUGUCUCCGUGCAGGAAAAAAGGAGAAAAUAAAAUAAACAGAAACCAGCAGUAUAUAUUAAUGGCUGAAAAAUAAUAGUAUUAAUUUUGCCAAAGUACUGUAUAGUGUGUAGCUGCGUGUGUGUUUACCUCUCAGACCCGCCAGAGCCUCGGGUCGUCGCUUCCUCAUAUUAACGCCUGUGUUGUGUGUGUGUUUGUGUAUCGCCAAGGUGCCAAAAUAGUUAUAAUAAUAAUAAAGAUAAUAAUAAUAAUAAUAAUAAUAAUAGUAAUAAUAGUAAUAGUAAUUGAAAAAGAGUGUUCUCGCUUAAGCUUAUGCGGGCAUCAUCCUGUUCUCUGGAUUACUUGAGUGGAUUAACACCUCUUGGAUAUUCUUUUUGGAGCUUCGCCUGGAGCCUGGACUCGCCUUCCGCCUCCAGCCAUGAUCUCGUGUAAUGCCAACGCGGGCAGCUUCAUCAAGCCUGAACGGUCGUCGGGCAACACCAAUACACGGUCA